rnacentral:rRNA from 1 species
CCACCUUUCUGAGCUUCGGUCUUCGUGGGUUUUGAAGAAGUUUCAAAGCCUUCGGAUUUCGCGAGAUUGGGAUCUCUCGGUGUACUUUCUCGUACGGUUAGUCAACAUCGGUUUUGAAUGUCAUAAAAUGACUGGAGGAAUGUAGCUUCGAUCUCGUAUUGAAGUGUUAUAGCCUUUGGUAGAUGUGAUGUUUGAGACCGAGGAUUGCAACGGAUACCCUUCAGGGCUAUUCGUCUGAUCUCUGAUACGUUGCCCUGAUGUUGAAAGCUUGCUUAUGAUGUUAGGGUAUUACGGUCAAAAGGUUAGAACUCAUUAGAUUCGUUAAGGAUGUUGACGUAAUGACUUU